GACGUAGGGCGCGAGCGUUGUCCGGAUUUAUUGGGCGUAAAGAGCUCGUAGGCGGCUUGUCGCGUCGACUGUGAAAACCCGCGGCUCAACCCCGAGCCUGCAGUCGAUACGGGCAGACUAGAGUGCUGUAGGGGAGACUGGAAUUCCUGGUGUAGCGGUGAAAUGCGCAGAUAUCAGGAGGAACACCGGUGGCGAAGGCGGGUCUCUGGGCAGUAACUGACGCUGAGGAGCGAAAGCGUGGGGAGCGAACAGG
rnacentral:rRNA from 1 species